rnacentral:rRNA from 1 species
GCUGGCGGCAGGCCUAACACAUGCAAGUCGAGCGGUAGAGAGAAGCUUGCUUCUCUUGAGAGCGGCGGACGGGUGAGUAAUGCCUAGGAAUCUGCCUGGUAGUGGGGGAUAACGUUCGGAAACGGACGCUAAUACCGCAUACGUCCUACGGGAGAAAGCAGGGGACCUUCGGGCCUUGCGCUAUCAGAUGAGCCUAGGUCGGAUUAGCUAGUUGGUGAGGUAAUGGCUCACCAAGGCGACGAUCCGUAACUGGUCUGAGAGGAUGAUCAGUCACACUGGAACUGAGACACGGUCCAGACUCCUACGGGAGGCAGCAGUGGGGAAUAUUGGACAAUGGGCGAAAGCCUGAUCCAGCCAUGCCGCGUGUGUGAAGAAGGUCUUCGGAUUGUAAAGCACUUUAAGUUGGGAGGAAGGGUUGUAGAUUAAUACUCUGCAAUUUUGACGUUACCGACAGAAUAAGCACCGGCUAACUCUGUGCCAGCAGCCGCGGUAAUACAGAGGGUGCAAGCGUUAAUCGGAAUUACUGGGCGUAAAGCGCGCGUAGGUGGUUUGUUAAGUUGGAUGUGAAAUCCCCGGGCUCAACCUGGGAACUGCAUUCGAAACUGACUGACUAGAGUAUGGUAGAGGGUGGUGGAAUUUCCUGUGUAGCGGUGAAAUGCGUAGAUAUAGGAAGGAACACCAGUGGCGAAGGCGACCACCUGGACUAAUACUGACACUGAGGUGCGAAAGCGUGGGGA